rnacentral:lncRNA from 1 species
UUUCAACUACUAUACAUUCAGGGGCACCAGUAAUUUCCUGUUACAAUCAAAGGCAUAAAUACGUGUAUUUAGCCUAUUGACAUGUUGGUACAACAGUUACACCACAAGUCUGAAUGACCCUGAACAGUCUGUGGUUGUGUGCUGUACACAGGCUGUGGCUCCCACACCUGUGGCUUAUGGCAGCGUUGCACUUUUGUCAUGCAGCUCCUUGUUUACAGAAAAAUGCUGUUUGUUAUGUGCAUGUACUGUAACAAAAGCUAGUUAUAAUGUAAACAGGUCAGAGUUGUGAGGGUAGAGAUAUUGAAACAAACAUAAGAACGGCUAAUGAUAAACCAAUAUCUGAAAUUGUGUUAAUAACAGGUCGGACUGGCCACCACACCAGCUGCUGCCACACCCUCACAAAACCACAUCUCUAUUUAUUAUACAGUCAAAACUUUUUAAGGACAUUUGCUUUGGUGAAGGUGUGUGGAAAGUUAAUGGAAAGGAAUUUUGUUCAGAUUUAAGAAAUGCAAGGAAAUUUAGUUUAAAAGAAAAAAGACUCUUGAGGCACAAUUAAUGUUACAAAACCUAUGUUGCAAUACUAAAAUCUAAUAACAUUUAUUAUUGUACUAGCUUGAAUGUGUCCAUUUGAACAUACAGUAUGCAUAAAAUGUGAAACCACAACAUGUGUCAUCAUUCACAUUCUUAGACUCAUUCAAAUGAAUCCACCCUUCAUUGACAGAUGACGUCAGACAUAAUGUUUUUGUCAUGCUCAGAACAGUUCCUGCGUCCUUCUAUUAUCCUAUAAAUAGAGACACAUAAAACAAUCGCCACAUUCAUACCUGGGACCUGACUUGCAACAUCAGAGGCACCUGAAUAUAAAACCAGAGCUUUCUUUCAAGGAAUUAACAACAGUUUUUCAUCAUUUGAACACACAAGAACAUCUACAGGUAUGAACACCAGAGUACUUGUCACUGUCCUGUUUAUGGUAAUUGUUGCCGUAAACAAAGCAACAGCUACAACUGGAUUUAUCAUGAACCAAACGCCUACUCCUCUCAAUGUAGCUGUGUCUAAUCAAAAGUGUAACAUGACAAAGUACUGUGGAUCCCUGCCCUCUUCAUGCAACCCUUCCUCACAAAGCUGCUACUUUGCCUCUGCACAGCCGGAUGCAGCUGGCUUUUUGUUUGAGCUUUCAGGGAAUGCAACCGGCUACAUCGCAGCCACAGUGACUUCUAACUCUGCAUUUGGAAAAAAUGAAACAACCUACAUCUGCGCAAGCGGCAGCUCAACUGUUGAUUUCUACACUGCUCUGCUCAACAACAUCACACUGAUCCCAGCAAAUAUGAGCGUGCCCUCUGUGAACGGCACAAACAAUGGAAUCAUUACCCAGUGCCUAAUUAAUACCACAAUAAUAAGUGCUACUCUGGUAAACAUCUACAAUGGAUCCUACAAUAGCACUACUCGUGACUUGGGAAACCUCAACUUCCUGUUCCAGAUUAACGUUACACCUCCGUUAGGUAACAGUACAGGAUCAAAUGACGGCAUCACCAUCCAGCAUUCAAUGACACAAGGUAAACAAAAGAGAAAAAAAAUGAUCUAUUUGAGUGAUGUUUUAACUAUUGCAUCUUCCCAAUGUCUUUUAAUCUGGUCUGCCUUCCGUCCCAACAGCUCUGCUGAUCACUGCAGGUGUGCUGGUCCUGGCGUUGAUGUGAGGAAAGUGAAGAAGUCGUACAAAUGUAUUAGAGAUGGAAGUAUGGGUGAUGGGGGUUGUUUAUUCUUCCACAGCCUUCUGACUUCUUUCAUGUCUGAAACCAGUGAGAGAAUUAAGAUUAUUAUUCUUAAUGUGAUUUAUUGUAUUAUUUAUUCAUUAUGUAAGUCAGACCUACAGUAAUCACAGAAAUUAUUUCUGCUUGGUUUCCUAGUUUAAAUUGGUUAAGUAAACCAGCACCCGGUUUUCAGAACGUGAAUUAAUGUUUAACACACAUUCUGGAUACGGGGUCAACUUAGUACCACUGGAUAUGAAGUGAUGAAUAAUUAUGUCUUCUGUGUAUAUGUUACUACCUUACACAAUCAUCCAUGUAAUGAAGACAACAACUUACAGUCAUAAUUGUGUUAAUUUAAGGUGAAUUUUAAUGUUAUUUACCUUUUUUACUUGUUUGUUUCUGCAAUUUUUUGUACACCAAUUAAAAUGAAAGGUGUGACAAUGUUAGCAGUUGUAAUGUAUAUUUGUAAAGUUCACAGUGAUAGACAGUUUUCAGCUGGUUUAACAUUUACUGGUUUACGUUCCUUCACUAUUUACUGGGACUCUGUGAGAGGCCUUCAGGUCCUGUUGUUUUAAUAAAUGGCUGCAUCACAGCCUACA